rnacentral:RNase_P_RNA from 1 species
AGAGGAGGCGAGGGGGUUACGGACGACGAUCGGUGUCGAUCGUCUUCUGAGGAAAGUCCGGGCUUCCGAAAGACCAAACUUGCUGGGUAACGCCCAGUGCGCGCGAGCGUGAGGAUAGUGCCACAGAAACAUACCGCCAGUAGCCGAGGACAUCUGUCCUCACCAUUCACUGGUAAGGGUGCAAAGGUGCGGUAAGAGCGCACCAGCAACGUCGAGAGGCGUUGGCUCGGUAAACCCCGGUGGGAAGCAAGGGAGUAGGAGCCACGGUUGGUCUUUUUCCGGCUCCGGGCAACAAGGGCAACCUUGCUGCGAGAUCCGCUAGAGGUGUCUGGUAACAGACAUCCCAGAUAGAUAACCACCCUCUAAGUGGUACUGCCAUUUAGAGAACAGAACCCGGCUUAUGUCCGCCUCUUCCC